AUACGAUAAGAAGCGCGGUGUAGAAACUAGUGAUGGAUACAGCUUUGCAGAACAGGAGACGUUGCCAUGCCAGAGAUUGUUGAGGUUAUGAGUGUUUAGUAAAUUAAUGAUUGAGGAUUGACCGAGGGAUUCUAAGUUCCUGUUAUGUUCCAAAACGAUGAAGAAUAUCGAUAAGACUUCGAAAGCGUGUGAAAAACAGAGAAAUGAUUAUGGUUCUCGAUUUUCUUUUUAAAGAUGCAAAAUGCAUCGAGAAGCAAAUGGAAAAAUAUUUCUCCCUAUCUAACGAUAAUAUAAUUCUUUGCCCUUCGUA